AUUAUGAUAUGAAUAAGCUUCUUUUUUAUUGUCCUUUUCAUUUUUUAUGGGUCAUUUUUAGUAAGAGAAUUUGGUAUUAAUUAUUUAAAUUUCUCUAAAAAAACAUGGGUACAGAGAGAAAGAUGGGGAAAAUGGGAUUUUGUUUGAGAGUUAGGACAAAAAUGAACCAUUUUUGUGAUGUAGCAAUUGAAGAGAGAAGAGAAGACGGUGAGACCUAAAUAAGGAGAGAAGAGAGAAA
rnacentral:lncRNA from 1 species